GUUGACAGGAUAGUGCAGGAUAGUAUAGAAGGCAAUCUUUCCCAAUGAAUUACAGCUGUACUGAUUACCAAGGAGUGGAAACA